rnacentral:rRNA from 1 species
UACAGAGGUCUCAAGCGUUGUUCGGAUUCAUUGGGCGUAAAGGGUGCGUAGGCGGCGCGGUAAGUCGGGUGUGAAAUCUCGGAGCUUAACUCCGAAACUGCAUUCGAUACUGCCGUGCUUGAGGACUGGAGAGGAGACUGGAAUUUACGGUGUAGCGGUGAAAUGCGUAGAUAUCGUAAGGAACACCCGUGGCGAAAGCGGCUCUCUGGGACGGUACUGACGCUGAGACGCGAAAGCGUGGGGAGCAAACAGG